rnacentral:rRNA from 1 species
UACGUAGGGUGCGAGCGUUAAUCGGAAUUACUGGGCGUAAAGCGUGCGCAGGCGGUUUUGUAAGCCAGAUGUGAAAUCCCCGGGCUUAACCUGGGAAUGGCAUUUGGGACUGCAAGGCUAGAGUGUGGCAGAGGAGACUGGAAUUCCUGGUGUAGCAGUGAAAUGCGUAGAGAUCGGAAGGAACACCAGUGGCGAAGGCGGCUACCUGGACAAAUACUGACACUGAGGCGCGAGAGCGUGGGGAGCAAACAGG